rnacentral:rRNA from 1 species
CCUACGGGAGGCAGCAGUGAGGAAUAUUGGUCAAUGGGCGGAAGCCUGAACCAGCCAAGUAGCGUGCAGGAUGACGGCCCUACGGGUUGUAAACUGCUUUUAUACGGGAAUAACGCGCCUUACGUGUAGGGCUUUGCAUGUACCGUAUGAAUAAGGACCGGCUAAUUCCGUGCCAGCAGCCGCGGUAAUACGGAAGGUCCGGGCGUUAUCCGGAUUUAUUGGGUUUAAAGGGAGCGUAGGCCGCAUGUCAAGCGUGCUGUGAAAUGUCAGGGCUCAACCCGGGCCUUGCAGCGAGAACUGGGGUGCUUGAGUCCGCGGAAAGCACGCGGAAUUCGUCGUGUAGCGGUGAAAUGCUUAGAUAUGACGAAGAACCCCGAUUGCGAAGGCAGCUUGCUGCAGCGGAACUGACGCUGAUGCUCGAAAGCGCGGGUAUCGAACAGGAUUAGAUACCCGGGUAGUC